rnacentral:tRNA from 1 species
GCCUUCGUGGUGUUACGGAUAGCAAACUCGGCUGGUAUUCCAGAGGUCCAGGUUCGAAUCCCGGCGAGGGCA